CUCCUCCAUCAAACACAUUCCAAAGCCUUCUGUCUUUCUUCAGAGAACCAUUCUAAACAGAACACCCAGUCUCUCUCAUUUCCUAUCAUACAUUUAGUAUCUCAAUGUUUAGCACAUUCCAACACCACAUUCAUUCUUCCCAUGACAGCCUGACCAGGUGAAUCCAGGAUCCCUUAUUGAUGUCACCUGUUAAAUUCACUUAAAUCAGUGUAGAUGAAGGGGAGGAGACGGGUUAAAUAAUGAUGCUUUGCCAUUCAGAGGGUGAAUGGGCAAGAAAAGAUUGAAAUCAAAUCAAAUUUGAUUAGUCACAAUACAGUAAAAAAAAAUGAAUAGGAACUAACAAAUAAUUAAAGAGCAGCAGUAAUAAUAAUCAUAGCGAGACUAUAUGCAGGGGGUACCGGUUAGUAAUGAGACUAUAUGCAGGGGGUACCGGUUAGUAAUGAGACUAUAUGCAGGGGGUACCGGUUAGUAAUGAGACUAUAUGCAGGGGGUACCGGUUAGUAA